rnacentral:lncRNA from 1 species
GCCUCGUGUGUCCUUCCGCCUCAGCCGCCUCCUCCCACCGCAAGCCCCGCCCCACUGUCGCCGCGGCCUCGGCCCCGCCGCCUUGGGCACCCAGGGGUUUCCCGCAGGAAGAAGCGCCGGCCCGAGCUCCGCGCGGAGGGAUCUACUACGAGUCACUGGCCCCGUCCGCAUCCUUCUCCAGCAGCCUUAACUCGAUCAGGGCUGCAGCGGCUCGCUGGCUUGACCAGUGCAGAAGGGGCGUGGAGGUGAGGGGGGUGGGGUAGGACUCUGAACUUCAAGCACUGGAGUUUGCCGGGAUCGUGAACUUGCAGGGAGAGGCGGUCCUCAUCCAGUGAGGUCUGUAUCGCCACCUACACCCACACAUCCACACACUGCUUUGCUAGCUAGAGGAAUGCUCUGGAGUAGGACCAGUGCUGUCAAAGAAGGAAAGUGGGCCAAGGCGCCAAAGUCCAUUAAAAAGGAAUAGAGCCAUCACGGAGUGGUGCUGCCCCAUUCAUUCAUUCAUUUGUUCAUCCGUGUAGCGAAUAUUUCUUAAGUGCCUUACUUUGCGUAGCUGUGUGCUUGGCAGUGGGAUGAUACCAAAGAUGCACAAGCAACUUUGAGUACCAAGACUUUGCCGCUGUGGGCUGGGGGAUUCAGGGAAGGCUUUCCCAGAGGAGCUGGGAUGAAAGCAGGAUCUUGAAAGGUACUAACAGUCUAAGCAGAAAAAGAAGAACAGAUGGUGGUAAGACCUAGAAUGUUUACCCCAUUAAGAUCUAUAUCUGAAUCCAGAAGGAACACCUCAUUGCUGAGAAGAGCCCUGCAGACAGUUCACACCUCUGUUUCUUUUGCAAGAUAUAGCUACCUCAAAAAAUCCUUUCUUGAUCAAACUCUUAUGGCCUGGAAUCCUUGCGUUUCUGCUGAUGACUGUCAUUUUAGAGUACUUACUAAAGACAAUGGUUGGGGAAAUAGAUAUUUUAAAAAUAAGGGAAGAAGUGGGUAGGGUAAACCCAGGCUUACUUAUGUAAACUCUGAGUGCUGAAGUUAGAAGACAACCUUUAAGAUUAAAAAAAAAAAAAAAAAAAAAAAAA